UACGUAGGGUGCGAGCGUUGUCCGGAUUUACUGGGCGUAAAGAGCGCGCAGGCGGUCGGAUCAGUCGAAUGUGAAAGCCCCCGGCUCAACUGGGGAGGGUCAUUCGAUACUGUCCGACUCGAAGGCAGGAGAGGGAAGCGGAAUUCCCGGUGUAGUGGUGAAAUGCGUAGAUAUCGGGAGGAACACCAGUGGCGAAGGCGGCUCACUGGCUCAUUACUGACGCUCAGGCGCGAUAGCGUGGGGAUCAAACAGG
rnacentral:rRNA from 1 species